AUUGAACGCUGGCGGCAGGCCUAACACAUGCCAGUCGAGCGGAUGAAGGGAGCUUGCUCCUGGAUUCAGCGGCGGACGGGCGAGUAAUGCCUAGGAAUCUGCCUGGUAGUGGGGGAUAACGUCCGGAAACGGGCGCUAAUACCGCAUACGUCCUGAGGGAGAAAGUGGGGGAUCUUCGGACCUCACGCUGUCAGAUGAGCCUAGGUCGGAUUAGCUAGUUGGUGGGGUAAAGGCCUACCAAGGCGACGAUCCGUAACUGGUCUGAGAGGAUGAUCAGUCACACUGGAACUGAGACACGGUCCAGACUCCUACGGGAGGCAGCAGUGGGGAAUAUUGGACAAUGGGCGAAAGCCUGAUCCAGCCAUGCCGCGUGUGUGAAGAAGGUCUUCGGAUUGUAAAGCACUUUAAGUUGGGAGGAAGGGCAGUAAGUUAAUACCUUGCUGUUUUGACGUUACCAACAGAAUAAGCACCGGCUAACUUCGUG
rnacentral:rRNA from 1 species